GGAACCCAUCCCAGGGAAGGAGAGGUCAGGGCUGGGCUCCUACCACCAGGUCCAGUGGAGGGGAACCCAUCCCAGGGAAGGAGAGGUCAGGGCUGGGCUCCUACCACCAGACCCAGACCCAGGAACCCAUCCCAGGGAAGGAGAGGUCAGGGCUGGGCUCCUAUCACCAGGUCCAGUGGAGGGUAGCCAUCCCAGGGAAGGAGAGGUCAGGGCUGGGCUCCUAUCACCAGGUCCAGUGGAGGGGUAGUAUCCCAGGGAAGGAGAGGUCAGGGCUGGGCUCCUACCACCAGGUCCAGUGGAGGGGUAGUAUUUCAGGCACCAAGACACUGUGUCUACCGCCUGUUAUUUCUAUCAGCUGCCCGGUUUAGACAGCCUGGGAUCAGGUGUCUGUCCACCACCUGGGUUCAAAUACUAAAUCAUUUCAUUCAGCUCGUCUGGCUUAACGGACCGAUAGGGAAAAGGUCCCAAAACGAUAAACCCCACACAGCUGGCACUCUAGGAAGGCUAGAGAAAACGCUCAAAA
rnacentral:lncRNA from 1 species